AACAUGGAAUAAAAUAAGCAGUGCAAAAGAAGGAAAGAUAAAUAUGGUUUUAUAUACAGUGUGAUAUGUAGUGUGAAGUAAUGAUAUUGAAUAGUAGUGAAAUUGCACAGAAUUAUAAUUAUCAAAAGUAUUAAAUAUUACAUAUUGCACAGUAGGUGGGUAGAGGAAAGUCUGGGAGUUAGACUGUGAAGUCAGUGCACGUGUGAGUUUAAAAUGGUAAUGGCUUUUGGAAAGAAACUGUUCUCUAGUCUGUUAGUCCUUGAUCUGAUGCACCUGUAGCGCCUCCCUGAGGGCAACAGGUCAAACAGAUCAAAGCCAGGGUGGGGGCUGUCCUUGGGGAUGUUUUCUGCACUGCUGAGGCACUGGGAGGUGUAAAUGUCCAUCA